GAGGACCGGGUGGGAGGAAUCACUGGUGUUCGGGUUGUCAUGCCAAUGGCACUGCCCGGUAGCUAAAUGCGGAAGAGAUAAGUGCUGAAAGCAUCUAAGCACGAAACUUGCCCCGAGAUGAGUUCUCCCUGAGACCUUGAGUCUCCUGAAGGAACGUUGAAGACGACGACGUUGAUAGGUCGGGUGUGUAAGCGCAGCGAUGCGUUGAGCUAACCGAUACUAAUGAACCGUGAGGCUUAACCUUACAACGCCGAAG
rnacentral:rRNA from 1 species